rnacentral:misc_RNA from 1 species
GAGACUCGAGAAGAUUUAAUUGACAAUGAUAUCCUUAAGCUGAUAAUAGCCAAAGAAGAAAACUAGAAACCAAUCUAAAUAAUAUGAUGAAUGCUUGGGAUGAUGGGGAUAAUAUCACCUUUUGAAAAGAAGCAUAUGCAUGUGAUAACUUGAGUAAUGUACAAUUUCAAAAUCAAGGAGAAUGAGUAAGCUUCACUUAUCUAAACUUGCACUUUUAAUGAGUUCACAUGUGUCACAAUGUAAGCAUAUGAAAUGGAAGUCUUCAGAUUAAGCUUUAAUAAACUGUUUGAUGAUUUCAGCACUUCAUUGGAACUUGAAGAAUCAAUGAGAAUAAGCAAGCUUCACUUAGCUAAACUUGUGCUUUUAAUGAAUCUACACAUAUGUCACAAUGUAAGCAUAUGAAAUGGAAGUCUUCAGAUUAAGCUUUAAUAAACUGUUUGAUGAUUUCAGCACUUCAUUGGAACUUGAAGAAUCAAUGAGAAUAAGCAAGCUUCACUUAGCUAAACUUGUGCUUUUAAUGAAUCUACACAUA